rnacentral:rRNA from 1 species
GUGCCAGCCGCCGCGGUAAUACGGAAGAUGCGAGCGUUAUCCGGAUUUAUUGGGUUUAAAGGGAGCGUAGCGGGUCUUUAAGUCAGCGGUUAAAUGUCAGUGCCCAACGUUGGCAUGCCGUUGAUACUGGAGGUCUUGAAUACACACAAGGGCGGUGGAAUUCGUUGUGUAGCGGUGAAAUGCUUAGAUAUGACGAAGAACUCCGAUUGCGAAGGCAGCCGCCUGGGGUGCGAUUGACGCUGAGGCUCGAAAGUGCGGGAAUCAAACAGGAUUAGAUACCCUGGUAGUCCGCACCGUAAACGAUGAAUGCUCGUUCUGGGCGACAGACAGUCCGGGACCGAGGGAAACCAUUAAGCAUUCCACCUGGGGAGUACGCCGGCAACGGUGAAACUCAAAGGAAUUGACGGGAGCCCGCACAAGCGGAGGAACAUGUGGUUUAAUUCGAUGAUACGCGAGGAACCUUACCCGGGCUUGAAAUGUACCUGACGCGGGGCAGAGACGUCCCGUUCCUUCGGGCAGGUAUGUAGGUGCUGCAUGGUUGUCGUCAGCUCGUGCCGUGAGGUGUCGGCUUAAGUGCCAUAACGAGCGCAACCCUUGCCGCCGGUUGCCAUCACGUGAUGGUGGGCACUCCGGCGGGACUGCCAUCGCAAGAUGUGAGGAAGGUGGGGAUGACGUCAAAUCAGCACGGCCCUUACGUCCGGGGCUACACACGUGUUACAAUGGGGGGCACAGCGCGCCGCUACCCGGUGACGGGAUGCGAAUCGUGAAAUCCCCUCUCAGUUCGGACCGGAGUCUGUAACCCGACUCCGCGAAGCUGGAUUCGCUAGUAAUCGCGCAUCAGCCAUGGCGCGGUGAAUACGUUCCCGGGCCUUGUACACACCGCCCGU